AAGUAUGUGGGCUAUUAAACAACAGGACUUGGCCGCCAAGGAUAAGUUGUCGAGGAUGAGACUACUUGAAUCUCUGGUUUCAAAAAAGGAGCCUUUAGCCGAGUAUGAAGAAGCCUUAAAGAAGAAGAUCAUCAGUGACAUUAUGUUUAAUUAGCGUCAGGACAGUGUGAAAAGAUGGAGCAAUGGGAGUGGAAUAAUCACGGAGUCUCUGUGGUCUUGCGGUCUUGGCGUCUUGUGUCACGGAGUGAAAGUGUAGUAGGUCUUGCGGUCUUGGAGUCUUGUGGUCUUGAAGUCUUGUUGUCUUGGAGUCUAGUGGUCUUGGAGUGUUGUAGUACUUGUAGUACUUGUGUCACGGAGUAAAAGUUUCUAGUGGAGUCUAGUAGUCUUGUAGUGUUGUUGUAGUCUUCUACUACUUGUGUCACGGGUCUUGUAUCAGACUUUGGUCCCAAUCUCUAUAUAUUAAGUCAUGUUGCGUUAAUGUUUUA